GUGACCAGGUGGCAUUCAACGACAAAACGUUUUAGAAGCCACAACCUCACAAAGCUCAUCCAAAACUGGAUGUUCUGGUUGCACAUUUGUUGGAGAGCUGAUCUGGAAACCAUGCUGGUCUGUGUCUGGCUGGUCAGCAGUCUGAUUCACACGAUCUCAGGAUGCUCUCUAUCAGAAACCAAAGGAGUCACUGGGUACACAGGAGGCUCUGUGGUCCUCUCUUGCUUCUGCACUGAUGGAGGGACAAUUACGACAUCUGCCAGAUGGAUUUUUCAACCAGGUUCUUCCGGUAUCACACUUUGGUCACGUCGUCGAGUGGACGACCUCUACAAAGUUCGGGCGUUGAUUUCUGUCUCCUCUGGAAACAUGUCUCUCCGUCUCUCAGAUCUCACUCUGUCAGAUGGGGGAACAUACAGGUGUGAAGCACGUGGUGAACAGUUUAAAGACAUCAAACUCACAGUGAAAGAAUCUGUGCCUAACACCACUGUGACUAAAAACCAACCACCAACCAAGACUACAACUACAACUGAACCAGCAUCCUCACAUGAAAAUAAGACACCCACUGGAAAGGAGGAGGCCACUGAAGAUCCGAAAAUCAACACCUUGUUUGUGGCCAUUGCUGUUGCUGCGGUGGUCACAUUGUUCACAGUGUGUUGGGCUGUGUUUUACUGCAGAGUUAGAGGCAGGAAAAGUGCAGGUGUUGAGUCUAGAGGGCCAAACGAGAAGAGGGCCAAGGAGCAGGAGGAGGACCCUGAUUCAGUGACGUAUUCUACCGUCAUCCACAGAGAGAAAGACAAAAACACAAAGAGCCAAAAUCAAACUCCAGCUGAAGACUCUACAGAAUAUGCUGCUAUUAAAUUUCAUAUUUAAUUCCAUGAAUGGCAUAGUUAUAGAAAUUCACAUACAUACACAC